UUGUACUGGCCACACAUACUCGAAAAUAACUUUUACAGGCAAUUAAUUACCGCAAAACGGAAAAUUUAGAUAUCUGCAGGCUGUGGCGGUGGUACGCUGCUACUCUUCCUACCACCAGGCCAGUGGCGGCAAAUCCUCAAUCUUUCACGAGAAGUGAGCAGAGAUGGUCGAGUUACUAGGAGGAUGGCUCAAAUAUCUCAGUUUGUCAUAUGAGCUGAUAUAAACGCUACACAUUGCUUCAUCGACCAGGUAACCAAAAAUAGAGAAAACUAUCUAUGCGAGAGUGCGAUAUGGAUUGGCAAAGAAAAUUUCUAAAAGUUAUGGAUUUUUGUGUUGGCCUUCCUGCAUUUCAACAGAAAAGGAGCAAGGAUUGCUAAAGGGUCAUAAGCCAAUUUCCUCCGUUGAAAGGUCUCCCACUGUUGACCAAAGUGGGCCCGCCACUCAUCUUGUGUGGCAUAAUGUGCUGGUUCCAGUGAAAUUCUCGCUCGAGUAAUUAUUCCGUACUGCCCAAGUCCACCAAGAACACCACUAAAAAGAUCUGCAUUCUGUUGUUCUGAACAAGUCACCACCUCUCCCUUUCCUGCAUCCAUAUUGUAGGUGUUCGAUUCUUAUUAGUGUUCCUUCCGUUAAUCUCCACAAAUCUAAAUGGCAUAGUGGCAUCAAGGGGUCUACAAAAUUUUGUGAAUUUCAACAAAGUUUGACCUACGCAUGGUUGUGCUGUGCUAGGACCGGGAGUUGACAGCUCACAAGAAGACACAUGUCACCCGUAAACAGUGAUAUCCAAUUGCAUAAAUCAAUAGGUCAGACCUAAUAACCAUUUCUCAGUUUUAAAGCGACUUCUUAUCAGAAACAUUGGCAUCAUCUCCAUUUUAGGCUUCACACGAUGUAAGCUAUAUCUCUACCUACGAUCCUUGUAUCGUUAGAGUGUAUGAGACAAAUGUAUGCAUAUUGAUCUAAAUUACAAUUCUGGUAUAAAUUAUCGGCAUGCUGCUUAUCAGUGGUUUGAUUUAAGCUUUUACA